GGCUGGCCCAAGUGCAGUGGUGUUUACAACUAAUUGAUCACAACCAGUUACAGAUUUCUUUGUUCCUUCUCUACUUCCACUGCUACAACUUGGCUAAUCUUUA
rnacentral:Y_RNA from 1 species